GACGAACGCUGGCGGCGUGCUUAACACAUGCAAGUCGAACGGAAAGGCCCUGCUUUUGUGGGGUGCUCGAGUGGCGAACGGGUGAGUAACACGUGAGUAACCUGCCCUUGACUUUGGGAUAACUUCAGGAAACUGGGGCUAAUACCGGAUAGGAGCUCCUGCUGCAUGGUGGGGGUUGGAAAGUUUGGGCGGUUGGGGAUGGACUCGCGGCUUAUCAGCUUGUUGGUGGGGGAGUGGCUUACCAAGGCUUUGACGGGUAGCCGGCCUGAGAGGGUGACCGGCCACAUUGGGACUGAGAUACGGCCCAGACUCCUACGGGAGGCAGCAGUGGGGAAUAUUGCACAAUGGGCGGAAGCCUGAUGCAGCAACGCCGCGUGCGGGAUGACGGCCUUCGGGUUGUAAACCGCUUUCGCCUGUGACGAAGCGUGAGUGACGGUAAUGGGUAAAGAAGCACCGGCUAACUACGUGCCAGCCGCCGCCGUAAUAC
rnacentral:rRNA from 1 species